rnacentral:lncRNA from 1 species
CCUGUACAGGUGACCCGUCUACACCGUCCUGUACUGGUGAUCUGUCUACACUGUCCUGCACAGGUGACCCAUCUACCCCGUCCUAUCCUGGCGACCCAUCUACACUGUCCUGUCCUGGUGACCCAUCUACACUGUCCUGUACUGGUGACCUGUCUACACCGUCCUGUACUGGUGACCUGCCUACACCAUCCUGUACUGCUGACCCAUCUACACUGUCCUGUCCUGGUGACCCGUCUACACUGUCCUGUUCUGGUGACCCGUCUACACUGUCCUGCACUGGUGACCCAUCUACACUGUCCUGUACUGGUGACCCGUCUACACUGUCCUGCACUGGUGACCCAUCUACACUGUCCUGUACUGGUGACCCAUCUACACUGU